UAGGGAAUUUUGGAGCUUUGGAAUUGUUUUGGGAAUAAGUGUGGUCUCCUGGGAGAUUAUGAUUGGCUAGCUGGUUCCUCUUCUUGUUUUGUUUUUGUAUAUAUGUGUGUCUUGUCUCUUGGAGUUGUGUUCUGAAAAUAGAGAAAAGAAAAAGAGACAAGAUGAGAAAAGAAAAAAAUAAAAAAUAAAAAAAUACAAAAAAAAUGAAAAAAAAAAAAUUGUGUGAAUAAUGGAGUCAAGAAGAAGACUGAAUUAGAGGUUUUGGGUGUGAUUUGACUGUGUUUACACUUGUUCCCCAUUGCUUCUCUAUUUCCUUUGGUUUGUAGUUUCUCAUCCAUAUGAUAUCCUUCCUUGUCCUUGGCCCCAUUACAACCAUGAAAAGACCUUUUGAUUUGAACAUGCAUGUGUGCUUGAGUGUUGAUAUUAGAGGCUUGCCAAGUCUAUUUGUGUUUGCUUUCUUGGGUGCAUCGAGUGACAUUGAUUUACCUUAAACACUUGAGAGAGACACUGAUUUUGUGCAUCUGUGAGGCUCUGUUGCUUUUGAUUCAUCUCUCGAACUGAUUGACUGUUUUC
rnacentral:lncRNA from 1 species